GACGAACGCUGGCGGCGUGCCUAACACAUGCAAGUCGAACGAGGUCCAUCCUUCGGGAGAAGACCUAGUGGCGAACGGGUGAGUAACACGUGAGGAACCUGCCCCGAAGACCGGGAUAACCCUCCGAAAGGAGAGCUAAUACCGGAUACCCCCACGAACCGCAUGGUUUGGUGAGGAAAUGGAUUCCGCUUCGGGAGGGCCUCGCGGCCUAUCAGCUAGUUGGUGGGUAACGGCCACCAAGGCAUCGACGGGUAGCUGGUCUGAGAGGACGAUCAGCCACACUGGGACUGAGACACGGCCCAGACUCCUACGGAGGCAGCAGUGGGGAAUCUUGCGCAAUGGGCGAAAGCCUGACGCAGCAACGCCGCGUGGGGGAUGAAGGCUCUCGGGUUGUAAACCCUUUCAGCAGGGACGAAUCAAGACGGUACCUGCAGAAGAAGCCCCGGCUAACUACGUGCCAGCAGCCGCGGUAAU
rnacentral:rRNA from 1 species